CUCUCUCCCUUUCUCUUUCCCUCUCUCACUUUCUGUCUCCCAGUCUUUUUCUGUGUGUGUGUGUGUCUCUCCACUUUGUUGUUGGGAACACCAUGUUCUGUGAUUUCCCUUGCAUCCGCACCAUGUUACCAUGUAGGUAGCAUUUCAGAAUCUCUUCAUCUGACAAUCUCAGGUGUUAUCUACUCUAGUACAUUUUGCAGCACAUUGUUUUGCGGUGAGUUAUGCCAAAGGUGUUGAACCUGGGACUCUACCCACCAGGGGAUUGUUUUCAUUCUCACGCCUUACACAGCUUCAUCAUCAUCUUCAUCUUCAUCUCACUUACACCAAGUACAUUUGGGUCCUUCCACCACUUCACGGUUGCCAGGCUACCAUCUCAGGGAUCAUUGCACUUCCUCUGACAGGAAGAGAGAUUUAGUAAACAAUGCAUGUAUGAUGCAAUGUGGAGGGUUCUUCUGUGUGUAUGCUUUCCCUUUAAGUGUGUGUGUGUGUGCAUGCGAAUGACUAGGAGGGUAUUCCAGAAAGCAGGUUUAAUAAACUCUGAGCCUAACCCUGAUGAUCCCUGGGAUGGAGAAACUCUGAGUGUUCCAUUCCAGAACACCCAAUCUGAGUUGGUGCAUGUUGACUCUGAGUCAGGCGCAUGCUUCAGCAGCAAUGGCGCUCCGAUACUACGAGACACCAUGGCAACCGGCAAGAAAACAAGGUUGUCCCACUUCACCCCACUGGUGUUAGAAGUUCUGACACGUUCUAUGGGCAGUAUGAGCACACACAGAAAAAAAAGCAACAGCAGCAGAACUGAAAUUGCGGAUUGUUUGUGCUGUAAGGUAAUCAUUGUUUGUGCUGUUGAGGAUUUUAAUUAAUAAAACUUUUCAAAUAAAAAAA